UACUGCAGGACGACUUGUUUCUGGAGGCCAAAAUAAUAGCAGAUGUUCAGAGAAGCAGAGACCGCCCCCAACCUCCUGGGCGGAGUUGAUGCUGUCAGAGACUUUGCUGAAAACGUCUCUGGUUCCUCCACAUCUGCCCCCCCCCGAAAGAACACGCAUUCUACAAGCCACCAUCCCUGCGACGGGAUGUCUAUAUUAGACUCAACCUUGACAUUUCACACCAAGACUCCUCCAAAUGUAGGCGGCGGACAUGUGCGGUGGAGGGGGAGGAAAUCGCCGUUUGGCUUUCCCCAACAGGAAGCUGCAGCUGACAAACAGGAAGCGAGCCGCCACCUUCAUCAGAUCUGCUGCUCCCCGCCGGCUUCCUGUGCGGCUCGUCUGCUUCAGAAAGCUGCUUCCCCUCUGAGUGUGAGAGCUCCUUCACACACGGGUCAGUGAGGCCGGCAGAACCUGGAACCCGUCCAGAACCGGGGUUCCCGCAGACCUUUCAGGCGCCACUUUGGCUGAUUGAGUUUGGAAAACUGGACUGAAGCUAAAAAGUCGGAUCCAAAGUGACUCCAGGCCUGGUCUCAGAGGCCCCGCCCCUUUCUCUGAUUCACAUGAACUUACUUUUGUUUCUUGAUCCCUGUUUUUCUUUUCUUUUCACUUGGACACUUUUCUGCUGCAGAGUUCAAACUUUAGGAGUUCUGGAAUGUGCUGCACACAGAUGAAGCUGGACUGUGAUUGGUGCACUGGACCGUCUCUUAAGGUUCUGUCCAGACCACCUUCAGAACUUUGGUCUACUUAGACCAGGGCUGCUCAUGACGUCGAUCGCAGGCCAGCAAAGAUACCAAAACAAUCAAAAGUACUUCUAAAAAAUCCUCACCGAGAAUUAGGCGACUUGAUUGACAUGCAGAACGGCCAAUCGAACAUCCUCUGAUACAUACGUCACUGCACAUGCGUGUUCUAAUCCACUGAGCCCAAAUUCUGUCAUGAGAAAGUCGCUACUUAACCCGCGGCACGUCAAGUCCCGGGCAGAAGACCACUCCGGCCCACUGGAGUGCCCCCCCCCCCCCCCCCCCCCAUCCCGUGAUUCGUGAGUCUCCUCCUGCUCUGUAGAGCCCCCCCCCCUCUUUCCGCAGCACGCGGUCCUCACCGAGCCAGCAGGUUUAUAAGCCCCCCCAUUGCCCGGUUCACAGGAGAGCAUGACAUACGAUAUUCGCUGCUUUCUGUAAUAAAACGCCUCAUCUGUUAAUACAAACGUAUCUUUGUGUACUCUUACUGUGUAGUUUUUGAAGUAUCAGUACAUAAACAAUGUAAUGUAUUGAUAGUUCAUAACACUAUGUUUAUUAAACAGUAUUUUAGUCUCAAAA